CUACUCAGAGUCACCGGGGAAGUUCGAACAGACCUUCAGCUUUGAGCUGCUGGGGACCCAGAGGCGCUACCAGCUCACCUGCAGAGGAGUUUGCACCUAUCCUUCCAUCUGCAAGGACUACACGACACUUUUUGCCCUCUGUAAGAAAGUGUCACACGUGAAAGAAGGGCUUCAGAAGACGUAUGUAAUCAAACCUGGAUACUUCAAAUUUGGACCUUUACUCUGUAGCAAGACCAGAGACAGGUGAGUAUGAUGGCUGUGAAUGGUUUAAUGUAGCUUUAUCAGUCUUUCUAUAUACAGAUUUAUUUGUGUCUGUGCAGAUACAAAGACAAUAGGUACCCAGAGAACAUGGAGAAGCUGGUGAUUCAUAACAACACGGGUCUGGAGGCUGAAGUCCAGUUCUGUUUCCAGCAUGACACUCAGGCCGCCACAUUUCUGCUGGACCCCUCGAACGUGACCCUGAAGCCUGAUCAGAAACAGGUACAGCAUCACACACAAUGCUGUCUGAUGAGCUAAUACAGCUGCUUGUGCUGAUAUCAGUACUUGUGAAUGUUCCUCCACCCCUCUAGGAGUUCACAGUGUGGGCCUACCCAACAAAAGUGGGACAAAUAAAGGACAGCGUAGUUUGUCAUAUCAAGGACAAUCCGGAGCUUGUGGUCAUCGAGCUCUCCUGCUGGGGCGUCCGACCAGAGCUGGAGCUGGAAAAAAAGCACUUGCAUUUUGAUCGGAUUUUGCUGUACAGGACUGACAGGCGUAGUGUGACGAUGCAUAAUAAGACAGCUCUGCCAGUAUCCUGGAGGCUGCAGGGUGUGGAGGAGUUAGGAGACGAGUUCACUGUGCCCCAGGAUCACGGCAUCAUCGCACCCAACUCCUCUUUUCCUUUGAGU